rnacentral:lncRNA from 1 species
UGAGGUGGAAGAGAUUAUGUUAGGAUUGGUUCUGAUUGAUUUGGUUCCUCAGAUUCUUUAGCUCGUUGCUCUUGGGAGACAUUCUCCAUGAGCUUAAUUAUUCUUCCGAUGCCAUUAUCUUGAAUAAACUAUUUUUCAAGAAAAAUAGCAUUUCGACUCACAAUCACAUUGUGGUCUUUCAAAAUAUAAAAAUAGUAUCCUAAUGACUCUUUAGGAUAUUCUAUGAACCGAGCUCUAAAAGAUCUGAACUCUAACUUGUCCACCUGCUGUCUCUUGAUAUGAGCCGG